AUUAAAACAAAAAGAAACAUUAAGGUGUAAGGUGUUUCUUCCCAACAGGUUGGAUGAAGUUUAAUGUGUUGAACAUCAACAGCGAUAAAAGUUGUACAUAUUUAUAUUCCACAGGCUCAUCAUUUAACGUCCAUUCAACUGAAGCUGAACAUAAGGGACGCCGGAUUAAGAGCCAUUUCAGGCAGAUUAUGUCGCCUGGAUUAUGUCGUAUCCCUGAGCACAUCCAUCUGCUCUGGGGUCUGAUCCUGCCCACAGCACCCUGGGUGGAGAGCCGCUUUGAGGGAUGGAGUGACUCCACCAAUCACCCACAGAGAUUAUCUGUCCACGCCCAAACUGAGCCCUCUGGUGGCCUACAUAUGGAAACACAACGGUGGUUUAAAAACAGGUUUCUCAAACAUUAUUCACACUUUUCCUGAGUAAAAACUCUAAUCUCAGUCUUGUUUUUCAACUGUAAUUACAAAACUGUAGAUAUUUGUGUACAUUAUCUACAAUGAUUAAAACAAUUAAUUGUGA